GACGAACGCUGGCGGCGUGCCUAAUACAUGCAAGUAGAACGCCGUUUCGCACGGGUGAGUAACGCGUCUGUAACUGCCUCAUAGCGGGGGGUUACUAUUGGGAACGAUAGCUAAUACCGCCUUCUUUGAGCUAGACCUGCGUUGUAUUAGCUAGUUGGAGAGGUAAAGGGUCACCAAGGCGACGAUACAUAGCCGGCCUGAGAGGGUGAUCGGCCAAACUUGGACUGGGAAACGGCCCAGACUCCGACGGGAGGGAGCAGUAGGGAAAUUUCGGCAAUGGACGGAAGUCUGAACGAGCAACGGCGCGUGAGUGAAGAAGGUUUUCGGAGCGGAAAGCUCUGUUGAUAGAGAAGCGGUAACUAAAGAGAAAGGGACGGCUAACUACGUGCCAGCAGCCGCGGUAAUAC
rnacentral:rRNA from 1 species